rnacentral:rRNA from 1 species
AUUGAACGCUGGCGGCAUGCCUUACACAUGCAAGUCGAACGGCAGCACGGGGGGUAACCCCUGGUGGCGAGUGGCGAACGGGUGAGUAAUAUAUCGGAACGUGUCCUGUAGCGGGGGAUAACCUAUCGAAAGAUGGACUAAUACCGCAUACGACCUACGGGUGAAAGCGGAGGACCGCAAGGCUUCGCACUAUAGGAGCGGCCGAUAUCGGAUUAGCUAGUUGGCGGGGUAACGGCCCACCAAGGCGACGAUCCGUAGCUGGUCUGAGAGGACGGUCAGCCACACUGGAACUGAGACACGGUCCAGACUCCUACGGGAGGCAGCAGUGGGGAAUUUUGGACAAUGGGCGCAAGCCUGAUCCAGCCAUGCCGCGUGAGUGAAGAAGGCCUUCGGGUUGUAAAGCUCUUUCGGCGGGGACGAAACGGUUCGUGCUAAUACCACGGACUACUGACGGUACCCGCAGAAGAAGCACCGGCUAACUACGUG